GGGAUUUUCUUUUGGAAAGCACUACCGGAAGCAGUAUUUUUCGUCGUGCCAGUUUGACAUCGUUUCUGACUUGCUUGUGAUUCAUGUUUUGUUAGCUAAUCUGGCUAGCAGAUGUCGCCUUGAACCUAUUUUCAGAUGAAUAUAUGUGCAUGAAACGGUUCAAACGCCACUCCUAGUUAGAGGGGAGGAUGGCACAUCGACGUACCCCACCUCCGCUGUCCCAGAGGACAGAUUACCUGCAGCCUGAUAAUGAUUCCGACAUGGACUCUGGUGUUGGCGAUGAUGCAGGGGAGGAUGCUGACAGUUGCCAUGAAAGCACAGUAACAGAAGAGGAGAAAGUCAACAAGCAUGAUGGCACAGAAGAAAACAGCGGGGAGGACAGAGAUUUUACAGUUUUUGUUGCCUUUCAAGGGGAUAUGGAGGAUGAGGACUUCACACAAAAACUUGACACUGUCCUCAGUGGGAUACCAAACAUGCUAGAUAUGGGCUCUGGUAGGCUAUGGCCACAGCAUGUGGAGCCUUGGAACAGUGUGCGGGUUACCUUCAACAUUCCUCGAGAUGCUGCUGAGCGUCUCAGACUGUUGGCCCAAAACAACCAGCAGCAGCUGAGAGACCUGGGGAUUCUCUCUGUGCAGAUAGAAGGGGAAGGGGCCAUCAAUGUGGCUGUGGGACCAAAUAGAGGUCAAGAAGUCAGAGUGAAUGGACCAAUUGGAGCACCUGGCCAGAUGAGAAUGGAUGUCGGCUUUCCAGGUCAGCCUGGUCCAGGAGGAGUAAGGAUGGCUAAUCCGUCAAUGGUUGCCGCUGGGCCGGGUAUGGCAGGUCAGGCUAUGGUACCAGGCAGCAGUGGACAGAUGCAUCCUCGUGUUCCAAGACCAUCUUCACAGACAGGUUCAGAUUUGAUGGAUCCAAUGAUGCCAGGUAUGUCAGUUCAGCAGCAACAGCAACUUCAGCACCAACAGGCUGGUCCCCAUGGCUCAGGCCCAAUGCCUCCUCAGGCUGCCCAUCACAUGCAGGCUCUGCAAGCCGGGAGACCGCUGAACCCUGCUGCGCUUCAGCAGCUACAACAACAACAGCAUCACCAACAGCAACAGGUCCAGCAGCAAGCUCAGCUAUCCCAGCUAGGACCUAGACCUCCAUUCAACCCAUCAGGCCAGAUGGCUGUGCCACCUCCUGGCUGGAACCAGUUGCCCCCCGGGGUCCUCCAGUCACCAGCCGCCCAAGGAGGCCCUGCCUGGAGAAAGCCGCCACCCCAAGCCCAAAUGGUUCAACGCCCACCCUCCCUUGCUACAGUUCAAACUCCUAGCCACCCUCCGCCCCCUUACCCAUUUGGCAGCCAGCAGGCUGGGCAGGUAUUCAAUGCCAUGGGACAGGGACAGUUACAGCAACAACAGCAGACUGGAGUGGGUCAGUUUGCAGCUCCCCAACCUAAAGGCCCACAGGCCAGCCCUGGUGGUGUUGCAGGGCAGCCCAGACCCCCUCCACCCCUUCCACCAACUUCUGGACCACAGGGCAACCUCACUGCCAAGUCUCCUGGUUCCUCCUCGUCUCCUUUUCAACAGGGUUCACCAGGGACUCCUCCCAUGAUGGCUCAGAGACCUACAACUCCACAGGGUUUCCCUCAGGGUGUUGGAUCACCAGGAAGAGCAGCCCUCGGCCAACAGGGUAACAUGCAACAAGGAUUCAUGGGAAUGCCCCAGCAUGGACAGCCUGGGGCCCAAGUUCACCCAGGCAUGUCGAAGCGUCCCAUGGGCUUUCCAAACCCAAACUUUGUCCAAGGUCAGGUGAAUGCCAGCACUCCAGGAACCCCUUGUGGAGGAACCAGUCAGCAGCUACAGAGCAACCAAGCGAUGACUCACCCAGGAGCCCAGCCAUCAGUCUCCACACCAAACUCAAUGCAGGGUGCACCCCAUGCCCAACCCAAUGUUAUGGGUGUACAAAGUAGCAUGGCAGGUCUGCCCCCCGGUACAACCACUGGACCUAUUAUGGGUCAGCAACAGCCUGGCCUCCAGACUCAGAUGAUGGGCCUCCAGCAUCAGGCCCAGCCCGUGUCCUCCUCCCCCAGCCAGAAGGUUCAAGGCCAGGGUGGAGGUCAAACUGUCCUCUCAAGGCCCCUCAGUCAAGGGCAGAGAGGAGGGAUGACCCCACCCAAGCAGAUGAUACCUCAGCAAGGCCAGGGGCCGAUGCAUGGGCAGGGUCAGAUGGUUGGAGGCCAAGGGCACCAGGCCAUGCUCCUACAACAGCAGCAGCAACAACAGCAGCAACAACAGCAGCAACAACAACAAAACUCCAUGAUGGAACAAAUGGUUGCCAACCAGAUGCAAGGAAACAAGCAGGCAUUUGGGGGCAAGAUUCCAACUGGGGUCAUGCCCGGCCAGAUGAUGCGUGGCCCUUCUCCAAACGUUCCAGGUAACAUGGCUCAGUUCCAGGGCCAGGUUGGCCCACAGCAGAUGACUCCACAACAGCAGCAGCAAAUGGCUCAACUCCAACAACAGCAGUUACAACAGCAGCAACAGCACCAGUUGCAACAGCUGCAGCAGCAGCAGCAGCAGCAGCAGCAGCAACAACAACAACACCAGCAGAUGAACCAGCAACAGCCCCAGCAGGUUCCUAUUGCUGGCAAUCCUAAUCAAGCUAUGGGCAUGCAUGGGCAACAGAUGAGGCUCCCUGCUGGUCAUCCUCUUAUCCAACAGCAGUUGCAGCAGCAGCAAUUACAGCAGCAGCAGAAACAGCAGCAACAGGCCAUGUUGCAGCAACAACAACAACAGGCAGCUCAGCAACACCCACAUCCUAUGGGAGAUCCUAAUAAUGGGACAAGUGACUUGGGGGUCCAACAGAUGGUCCCAGAUAUGCAGGCACAGCAACAGCAAGGCAUGAUGGGGGGCCCUCAGCACAUGCAGAUGGGAAAUGGUCACUUCGCAGGUCAUGGCAUGAACUUUAACUCACAGUUCCCAGGUCAGAUGCCAAUGGGGGGACCCUGUGGACAGGCAGGAGCCUUUCCCAUCAGCAAGGAUGUAACACUGACUAGCCCACUGCUAGUCAACCUGUUGCAGAGUGAUAUAUCAGCCAGCCAGUUUGUGCCAGGAGGAAAACAGGGAGCAGGGGGUGGCAAUCAAGCCAAACCCAAAAAGAAGAAACCAGCACGAAAGAAGAAGCCCAAAGAGGGAGAGGGCCAACAGCAAGUUGAGGGACUUGGUGCUCUUGAUGUGGCUGCUGGCAUGGAGGAUUCUGAACUGCCAAAUCUGGCCGGUGAACAGAAUUUGGGCUUGGACAACUCUGGCCCGAAACUCCCUGAUUUUGCCAACAGGCCUGCUGGCUUUCCUGGCCAAACUGGAGACCAGAGAGUUUUGCAGCAGGUGCCCAUGCAGUUUAUGCAACAACAGCAACAGCAGCAACAGCAGCAACAGCAGCAGCAGCAACAACAACAACAACAACAACAACAACAGCAGCAGCAGCAGCAGCAGCAGCAGCAGCAGCAACAACAACAACAACAACAAAUGCAGCACAUGCAACAGCAGCAGAUACAACAACAACAACAACAACAACAAAUACAGCAGCAGCAACAAAUGCAACAACAAAUGCAACAGCAGCAAAUACAGCAACAGCAGCAACAAUUACAACAACAACAACAGAUGCAGCAACAGCAGCAGAUGCAACAGAUGCAGCAGAUGCAAGGUCUCCAGAAUGCUCAAGGGCAGCAGGGAAUGACAGGGCCGCAGACUCCGGGUCAAGGCCAGCCCCAGAUGCACCCUCAUCAGCUGCAGCAACAACACCAGCAGCAAACUCAACAACCACACCUGCAACAACAGCAGCAACAGCAGAUGAUGAUGAUGCUGAAGAUGCAGCAGGAGCAGGCAAAGCAUCGCAUGUCCAUCCCUCCAGGAGGCCAGCUCCCUCCUAGGGGACUGGGAAAUCCACCUGAGGUACAGAGGCUUCCUGUCUCUCAGCCAGGCAACAUGCCUGUAAUGAUCAGCCUUCAAGGACAUGGAGGGGUAGCACCAUCACCUGACAAAGCCAGAGUGAUGCCUCUGAUGGUGAACCCACAGCUUGCAGGUGCUACACGAAGAAUGUCCCAUCCUGAUGUGGGGCAAGUUCCCCAAAGUACUGGAUCUGAAGAGGCCUCUGCAGGGGCCCACCAAAAGCAAGACAGGUCUGGUGGUUCAGAAAUUGGGGUACACCCUGGAAAUGGGGCCCAACAGAUGAUGCCCAAUCAGGGCUCUAACACUCACAUGAUGAAGCAAGUCCCUGGUCCAUCACCGAUGCCCCAGCACACUGGAGCCAGUCCCCAGCAACAGUUACCCACUCAGCCUCAACAGGGAGGCCCCAUGCCUGGUCUUCAUUUCCCCAAUGUCCCCACAACCUCGCAGAGCUCCAGGCCCAAAACUCCUAACAGAGCCAGCCCCAGGCCAUACCACCAUCCCCUUACCCCAACUAAUCGUCCGCCCAGUACUGAGCCCUCUGAAAUCAACCUUUCACCUGAGAGGCUAAAUGCCUCUAUUGCUGGGCUGUUUCCUCCCAAAAUCAACAUUCCUCUGCCUCCCAGACAGCCUAACCUAAACAGGGGGUUUGACCAGCAAGGUCUUAACCCAACAACACUGAAAGCCAUAGGGCAGGCGCCUCCUAGCUUAACUCUACCAGGCAACAACAACAAUGGCAGUGCUGGUGGAAAUAACACUAACAACAAUCAGCAGCCUUUCUCUACUGGCACUGGAGCAGGAGGCCCAGGCGCUAAACAGGAAAAGCAGACUGGAGGGCAGGGUAAGAGGGCAAGUCCUAGCAAUAGUCGGAGGUCAAGUCCAGCCUCUAGCCGCAAGUCAGCCACCCCAAGUCCAGGGAGACAAAAGGGGACAAAGAUGGCCAUCACCUGCCCUCCCCCGCAGCAACAGUUGGUCAGCCCUCAGGGGCAAACCAUGAUGCUAAGCCCUACCUCAGUAUCCCCAAGUCCAGUAUCUAUGCCUUCACAAGUAAGUGGGGCCAUGGAGGCACAGCAGACCCAGAGCCCCUUCCAUGGGAUGCAAGGUAACCCUGCCGAGGGUUUCAGGGACAGUCAGGGAAUGAUGACAGCAGAGCAGCGACAGAUGCAUCAGCCUCCGCCUCAGCCUUUGAGAGAGUUAUCAGCUCCCAGAAUGGCAAGUCCUCGUUUCCCCACGCCUCAGCAGCCUAAACCUGACUUGGAACUGCAGGGUGGCACAGUUGAUAGGCAGCCAGCACAAGUGGCACCUAUGCAGGACUCCGAGGUCUCACCUACUCUCAGGACAGCUCCAACUUCCCUUAAUCAGUUACUGGAUAACACGGGUAUCCCAAACAUGCCUCUUCGGCCCAUACAGAGUAAUACUGUUAGGGAGGUUAUGGGAAAAGACGGUCCCAAGUCUGCUUUGGAUCCAGAGAGACCACUCUACAGUAAUUCCCAGAGUACAGAUGUGUCAGCUUCUGUUGCUACUAGUGCCACUAUAAAUGAAUCAGAAGCUAAAGCCAAACCUGCUGUCCCAAUCCCAAACAGCAGUCCUAAUUUGCAGCCUGCUUCAAUUCCCAGCUUGCACUCUAGCAAUAGCGUAAACUCCAGUACUACCCCUGGCCUUAACCAAAACCCCAUCUCUAGUCUUGGCGCCCUUCCCAGUUCGAAUGUAAACCCAACACCUACCCUUAGCCCCACCCUCAGUACUAACACUAAUGCCACCACGAAUGUAAGCCCCAACCCAGUCACUUCAAAUCAGAGCACUCCUGCCUCCACCAUUACUACCAGUUCUAAAUCCAGCUCUGGUCUAAACCCAGCCAUUUCGGCGCCAAACCCAAGCCCUAGUCAUAAACCUGUGACAAGUGUUCACUCAGUCAUACAGAUCCCUGCCUCUUCUAGCACCAUUUCCCCCAACCAGAUCACUGUCUAUGUCACUUCUAACCCCAUCACUUCUGCCCCCACUCCCCAGGCACCCGCAUCUAUGGUCUCCACCAUGGUGGCCGUCCCUAACAAGAACAUUAGACCUCAGGACAUGCGGCAGCAGGCCCCGGUCCCCCGACCCCCUCAGUUCAUCGCCACAACCCCUGUAUUUAUCAACCCAAUUUUUCAGGUCCCAGGUGCACCUGUGGCAGCCAAUUCCACAGUGGUAUCACAGUCAGUCACCAUGAUGGGGCCUAUUCAGGUGUCUACUACAAACAUCCAACUUUCUCCUGCCCCAAGCUCCACCCACUCCUCAGGGGUGAACAUGACCAGCACUCAGGCUGCCAGAAGUGCUGUUGGACAGGUCCAGAUCGCCACUAGUAUGUCCUCAUCAGCCCCAGUUGCUACCCCCCCAGCUCCUCAGCAAAUUAACCCAGGAGCUGUCAAAACAGAGAAUGCAAGUGAGGCAGGCUCUGCUCAGAAAUCUAGUCCCCCAGUCCAGCAGCCAUCUCCCCAUCCAAGCCCUUCAGCAUCAUCUCCCUUUCAGCCACCACUGGCUUCUCCUCCUCCCUGCUCUAGUCCAGGGGCUGUUAAUUCCAUCCGAAAGAGCCCCAUGUCUCCAUCUCCCACUGUCCAGGUGAAAAGUAAACCUGCACAGGCCUCUGCAGCUGUUACCAGUACAGCUGACUCUCAGCAGAGUCCUGUAGAAAGGCCUGCACAGGGGCCAACUGGGACUGCGCCACCCCAGGCCUUUCAUCCUCCUGCUAGUUCUGCUGUUCAGAUUGAGGCACUAGCUACCCAUACUACUGCUGCUCCAAACAACAUUACUCUGCCUGCAGUGUCAUCACCAAUGGCAGUUUCCAGCCAAGUUGCUGUUCCCACUCAGAUUGUAACACAGGCUCCAGGGUCUGCACCAGCUUCAGUCUCGAGCCCAGCCCAGGCUGCAACUUCUCAAGCUCCUAUUGUCACUGGUGUCUCUUCAGUUAACUUGCUCUCUACGAUUGCUCCUGUACAAAGCCCCGUACCGUCCAUUGUUCCAAUUGUUGCCAGACCUGGACCUGUUCAGGAGGUUUCCCCUACCACAUCCUCUCCAGUUACUAACCCCAGUGGAGUUCUGCCAGCUCAGUCUGACCCCCCAGCUAUGGAGUCCUCCAUGCUGCAAGCUGCUGCACCUGCUGAAACCACUCAGACCACCCCAGCACCCAUUCAACAAGAAGUCCCACAGUCACAGGAACCUGUUGCCAGUGAGAAGACCAGUGAAGAGGUCUCGACAGGUUCUGAGCAGGGGGAGUUCUUUUGGUUGGCCAAGGGGUUACAUGGUGAAAACAAUGAGUCACGUGGCCUCAGCAAUUGGUAUGUAUAAAUAGCAUGCAACAAUAUAAAUAUACUUAUGCAUGUCAGAUAUUUAAACAAAGAACAGCCCAUCGCAAAGCAAAUUGUACCACUCACUGACCUGACCUUUCCUGGGGAUUGUCAUAAUAUGGUGGGGAAGUAAAGCCAUUUUUUGUUCAGCACAGUUUAUAGUUUACCGCUGUUUUUCCACUUCUAUCACAGAUGGGCAAAGAAAAGAAAGACGCCCAUCAACUUAGUCCCAAGGUAUGUAUUUUAACAUGUUUGUGCUGCAAAGACACAAGCAGUGAUCAUGUCGACGCAGCGGAUGCUGUUGGGAUGAAGACGCACGUUAUCUGUGGUAGACGAGGAAAAACAGCAGUCCUGAGUGGUAUUAUAUCUUUCUCUGAGUAGAGAAGAGUUAACGCACACCCUUGCAUCUUCAGUAACGCAUCCUUGUGUUGUCCUUCCUUGUCGUUUGUUGUUUUUCUUUCUGGUCCUCUCAGAGCUGCUGUGGAGAAGCCCAAAGGACCGAGCAGACGCAGCUCCCGGGCAGAGAAGGAGGUGGAGGAGGAGCCAGUAGCUGACAGCGCCAUUAGGAAGAGAUCAGCCAGGCCCGGAACCAGUGCUGCUGUAAAAGAAACUGGAGCGAGCCCC